CGCACCUUGCGCCCCUUGGUAUUCCGAGGGGCACGUCUGUUUGAGUGUCGUAAACUUCAUCCACCCUUGCUUUCUUAACCGAUCGCUCGGGCUGGGAUUUUUGGGGGUUGCCGGUCCCUGGUAGAUCGGCUCUCCUUAAAAGCAUUAGCGGGAUCCAAGUGUUGGCCCCCCGGCGUGAUAGUAAUAUCUGCGUCUCCUGGGCCUCGCGUUUUAAAGGGUCUGCUUCUAAUCGCCCUCCCCUGGGCAAAUCUUACUUUACUACAUGACCUCAGAUCAGACGGGAUUACCCGCUGAACUUAA
rnacentral:misc_RNA from 1 species